GGCUCGUCGUUGUUUCCGUCGAUAGAUCCCUACGACGCCGGAUCUUCGUCUCUUCGUCGUCCAAUACACGAUUUAGAGUACCGGCAGGUGGGAGGGACAGACGACGAUGAGGAGAUUCAGGAGGUGGACGACCUCGCGCAGAUGGAGUGGGUGAACACGUUCUUCUCUUCUGCACCGACGCAGGAGGUCGUCGGCACUUCACAGCUGGGGGGUGCCCCACUCGCGACGUAGGACUACAGUCAGGUGGAGCAGAUGCCUGUUCCUGAGCAGGGUCGUCGGUCCACUCGCCAGACCAUCCCGCCGAAGCCACUGACGUACUCGCAGCACCACACUAGGGCGGGCCAGGCUACAGAGCGACGCGGCAGGAGGAGAGGUGGCAAGCGCGGACGCAUCUAGUUUACAGGUUGUAGCUUGUUAAUUACUUUGUUCCGUCAUACUAUCUUAUGUACACCUGUGCAGACUAUGAUUGGAUGUGUCCAUUACGUACCAUUACGUGGAUCACUAAUCGUGAUCAGCAAUAUAUGGAGUGGUUGAAGAAGGUGAAUGAAGAUUUACGCAAAGGCGAGCGUGCAAAACCAGACAUCGCGGGACGUGAUAAGGGUACUGCCCGUGAAUGAUUGAUGUUAUACUGCUCCGUCUGAAUAAAUAAUGUAAUGUUUGUUCGAAUUACCUAAGGCAUGUUAGGUUUAGUCUUGGACCUCGUCACCGUAGUUUGCAAUAGGUCCUGACAUGUCAUGUCAUGUGUUCUGUGCGUUGAAUUAUGUGGACCACUAUUUAAUUUGUGUUCAAUGUAUGAACGGUGAUUGUUUUGAUUAUUUU